rnacentral:rRNA from 1 species
UGAGGAAUAUUGGUCAAUGGCCGGAAGGCUGAACCAGCCAAGUCGCGUGAGGGAAUAAGGCCCUACGGGUCGUAAACCUCUUUUGUCGGGGAGCAAUGGGUGACUUGCGAGUCAUCAGGGAGAGUACCCGAAGAAAAAGCAUCGGCUAACUCCGUGCC